AAGCUUUGAUCCGAAGAUUUCCGAAUGGGGAAACCCACUAUACGUAAUGGUAUGGUAUCCUUACCUGAAUACAUAGGGUAUGGAAGACAGACCCAGGGAACUGAAACAUCUAAGUACCUGGAGGAAGAGAAAGCAAAUGCGAUUUCCUGAGUAGCGGCGAGCGAAACGGAAUCUAGCCCAAACCAAGAGGCUUGCCUCUUGGGGUUGUAGGACAUUCUAUACGGAGUUACAAAGGAACGAGGUAGACGAAGCGACCUGGAAAGGUCCGUCACAGAGGGUAAUAACCCCGUAGUCGAAACUUCGUUCUCUCUUGAAUGUAUCCUGAGUACGGCGGAACACGUGAAAUUCCGUCGGAAUCUGGGAGGACCAUCUCCCAAGGCUAAAUACUCCCUAGUGAUCGAUAGUGAACCAGUACCGUGAGGGAAAGGUGAAAAGCACCCCGGAAGGGGAGUGAAAGAGAUCCUGAAACCGUGUGCCUACAAAUAGUCAGAGCCCGUUAAUGGGUGAUGGCGUGCCUUUUGUAGAAUGAACCGGCGAGUUACGAUCCCGUGCGAGGUUAAGCUGAAGAGGCGGAGCCGCAGCGAAAGCGAGUCUGAAUAGGGCGUUUAGUACGUGGUCGUAGACCCGAAACCAGGUGAUCUACCCAUGUCCAGGGUGAAGUUCAGGUAACACUGAAUGGAGGCCCGAACCCACGCACGUUGAAAAGUGCGGGGAUGAGGUGUGGGUAGCGGAGAAAUUCCAAUCGAACCUGGAGAUAGCUGGUUCUCCCCGAAAUAGCUUUAGGGCUAGCCUUAAGUGUAAGAGUCUUGGAGGUAGAGCACUGAUUGAACUAGGGGUCCUCAUCGGAUUACCGAAUUCAGUCAAACUCCGAAUGCCAAUGACUUAUCCUUAGGAGUCAGACUGCGAGUGAUAAGAUCCGUAGUCAAGAGGGAAACAGCCCAGAUCGCCAGCUAAGGUCCCAAAGUGUGUAUUAAGUGGAAAAGGAUGUGGAGUUGCUUAGACAACUAGGAUGUUGGCUCAGAAGCAGCCACCAUUUAAAGAGUGCGUAAUAGCUCACUAGUCGAGUGACUCUGCGCCGAAAAUGUACCGGGGCUAAAUACACCACCGAAGCUGCGAAUUGAUACCAAUGGUAUCAGUGGUAGGGGAGCGUUCUAAGUGCAGUGAAGUCAGACCGGAAGGACUGGUGGAGCGCUUAGAAGUGAGAAUGCCGGUAUGAGUAGCGAAAGACGGGUGAGAAUCCCGUCCACCGAAUGCCUAAGGUUUCCUGAGGAAGGCUCGUCCGCUCAGGGUUAGUCAGGACCUAAGCCGAGGCCGACAGGCGUAGGCGAUGGACAACAGGUUGAUAUUCCUGUACCACCUCUUUAUCGUUUGAGCAAUGGAGGGACGCAGAAGGAUAGAAGAAGCGUGCGAUUGGUUGUGCACGUCCAAGCAGUUAGGCUGAUAAGUAGGCAAAUCCGCUUAUCGUGAAGGCUGAGCUGUGAUGGGGAAGCUCCUUAUGGAGCGAAGUCUUUGAUUCCCCGCUGCCAAGAAAAGCUUCUAGCGAGAUAAAAGGUGCCUGUACCGCAAACCGACACAGGUAGGCGAGGAGAGAAUCCUAAGGUGUGCGAGAGAACUCUGGUUAAGGAACUCGGCAAAAUGACCCCGUAACUUCGGGAGAAGGGGUGCUUUCUUAACGGAAAGCCGCAGUGAAUAGGCCCAAGCGACUGUUUAGCAAAAACACAGGUCUCUGCGAAGCCGUAAGGCGAAGUAUAGGGGCUGACACCUGCCCGGUGCUGGAAGGUUAAGGAGAACUGCGAGUGAUAAAGAACGUCGUGAGACAGUUCGGUCCCUAUCCGUCGUGGGCGCAGGAAAUUUGAGAGGAGCUGUCCUUAGUACGAGAGGACCGGGAUGGACGCACCGCUGGUGUACCAGUUGUUCUGCCAAGGGCAUAGCUGGGUAGCUAUGUGCGGAAGGGAUAAGUGCUGAAAGCAUCUAAGCAUGAAGCCCCCCUCAAGAUGAGAUUUCCCAUAGCGUAAGCUAGUAAGAUCCCUGAAAGAUGAUCAGGUUGAUAGGUUCGAGGUGGAAGCAUGGUGACAUGUGGAGCUGACGAAUACUAAUAGAUCGAGGACUUAACCAUAUAA
rnacentral:rRNA from 1 species